rnacentral:lncRNA from 1 species
GUUGCUGCUGUCGUCCUGAGAGCUCGGCGUCAGGCUGCUCCUCAGCGGGACCACCUUCAGCAUGUUCUCCCCAUAGCUUUCUCUGGAAUCCGUGCUGCUACUGAUUUCUUUAGGGCUGGGCGUCGGCCGCUCCAGGUGAAUUUUAGUCGAACUGAAUGUUUUGGGCUCGGGAAUUUCAAAGCUCUGUUCGGGACUCGUGUUUAAGAAUUUACUGACAUAUGACCACAGUUUUCCUCCUUCUGCAUGCUGUAAUACGAGAAAGACAGACUCCUCGGAGAUGAUGUACUUGUGCAGACACACCAUGUUGGGCACACAGCGGGGGAUGAUGGUCGUUCUGCUCCUGCUGUACUCACUACUUUUCCUUAGACCCUUCAGUAUAAAAGUCUGCUGUGUUCUAGUGUCCAUUACAAGUAAAACCUUGUCAAUCACCCCAAGGACUCUGAAGGCCUUCAGUUCCUCGGCAGGGCUCCUUAGGUUCCAAGAGGGCCUUGAACUUAGUGAUCCUGGAGGCAUAGAAACAGAUGCAUCUUCAGAGGAUUUAUGGUAGAGAGUGGAGAUCUUUUCAGCUCGCAUAAGGUAUUCCGCAGUCUUCCUUUUCACUGCUUCUCGACGAGUUGGACUUGAUUCACCUUGAACACCUUCCAGAAGUAAAUCAACACCCUUUCUAUAAAAGCUGAAGGCAGUUUCAUAGUCUUCUUCUUCCUCCUUUUUCAAGGCCAGCUUUAUCAACUCGCCUGCUUUCUCCAAGUAGUCUUGUUUGCCAGGCUUGGGUUUUAAGCUUCCAGAAAACAGACCAUGGCUCUCCCUCUCUCCUUCAGGUUUGCUCCACUCCUGCUCAGAUGCCACAGUGCUUUGUAUUGGGGGCUCAGAAGUAAGGCAAAGGCCAACAGCUCUACUGGGAGAACUGUGGUUGGAUGCCAUUCCAUCAUCUAAUUCAGCAAGAGAGUCUACAUCAACUGUCAGAGAGAUCAGGUCACUGUCACUGGAGAAGCCUCCACAUUCCGACUGGCUUGUAAGCGUCACAUCAUCGAGUCCACUCAAGUCUUUCCGAACUUCAGAGCUGCAGUCAGACAGGUUGUCAGUCAGGGAGUCAGACAGAGGCUCAACAGGACCAAUCAGUUCAGAUCCAUCAUGUACCUCUCCACCC